AUAGGAGGGUGAGGUAGACGGGUAUAGGAGGGCUCCCCGGUGAGGUAGACGGGUAUAGGAGGGCUCCCCGGUGAGGUAGACGGGUAUAGGAGGGCUCCCCGGUGAGGUAGACGGGUAUAGGAGGGCUCCCCGGUGAGGUAGACGGGUAUAGGAGGGUGAGGUAGACGGGUAUAGGAGGGUGAGGUAGACGGGUAUAGGAGGGUGAGGUAGACGGGUAUAGGAGGGUGAGGUA